UACAGAGGAGCCAAGCGUUGUCCGGAUUGACUGGGCGUAAAGUGCACGCAGGCGGUUGCGCGCGUGGGGUGUGAAAUCUGGCCGCUUAACGGCCAGGCGCCAUCCCAUACGGCGCGACUGGAGUGAUGCAGAGGUCGAUGGAAUUGCCGGUGUAGUGGUGAAAUGCGUAGAGAUCGGCAGGAACACCCAGGGGGAAACCAGUCGACUGGGCAUCUACUGACGCUGAGGUGCGAGAGCGUGGGGAGCGAACCGG
rnacentral:rRNA from 1 species